CUCUCCUCCCUUCGUUUUCAGGUCCUACGUGUAUUCUGUUGCCAGGGAGUGUGACAAUGGAAAAAUUGACCCUAAGGAUUGUGCUGGAGUUAUACUAUGUACGGCUGAAAGAGCCACGCAGGUUGCUUUGCAGGCUAUACAAUGUUUAGGUGGUAAUGGUUAUGUAAAUGAGUAACCAACUGGCCUGUCUCCUUCGCGAUGCCGAACUGUAUGAGAUCGGAGCUGGGAUAGUGAGAUCAGAAUGCACAUGUUCAAUUACUGAGCUGAAAUGUUUGCAGCUCUCGCCUCUCGGGCACUGCAUUCAAGAUACACCGGGUGUUGCAGUCCGCCAUUUGAGUUUCUUUCACUCGCACAUUCCCGAAUGCCGAAUCACGAAGGAUCGUAGCAACUGGUGCAUCCAUGAUCAGAAAACGAGAAUCACAGUGUUCUUCGGGUAAUAAAAACACUAAAAGUUACGAAAUUUCAUUACUUUUUCACUUUUGCUGUCAAACCAUACUUGUAUUUACCCGUGGUGGUAGCGAGGUUCAGCAGUCGUAGACUCCAGACUUCGUUUCAUCUCUGUAAUGUUCAGUUAGAGACAGCAUAAUCUUUAAUGUUUGAACCAAAGUCAUGAAUAAAUCAUUGAUGUGGAGGGAAGCAUCCUAAAGAAACCCUACUAGAAA